rnacentral:lncRNA from 1 species
CUGAAUCAAGCAGGAAAACUAGGCAAAUUAUUGACUACCAUGUUUUGACCAUACUGAAAUUUAAACAAAUUAAAUCUAACAGUCCAAAUAACAGUCCAACAUAGUCUAAAUGUUCAUACAUAUUACACAACCAAGAUGAGAUGAAUAUCCUAAAUACUACUAAACUAGUAACAUUUGCACUAUAACAUUAACAUGAAAAUAUAAAUGUCUUCAUUGUCAAAUGUGACCAUGCAUAUACACAGCUGUGCAUUUCCAGAUUUUCCUGAGUGAGAGUAAGUACCUAGAAUUACAGCAAAGAGGAAAACACCUAUGAGUAAGGUAAGCGAGAAGCAACAAACAGUAGCAGAUCAACCAAUUAAGACCCAGGAGUAGUAUUAGGAAACUUAGGAAGUUCUUGAAAGACCAACGACAACACAAGUUCCAAUCCUAUAGCUCGAACAAAGAAACCAGCCUGGGAUCAAUGCCCAAAGUAGGUUCUAACACUCUAAAUGCAUAUGCUUUAAGUCAUCUUCACCUUACCACGGAUAGAAAUAUGAUUAUUUUAUAGAAAUUUUAGGAGGUUUUUGCCAAAAAGAAAAACUUGGAAUUUUUAGGAAAUUUUUCAUAUGGUGUUCUCGACUUCCUCUUUCUUCUUUGAAAGCAAUAAGAUGAUUUUUAUAAUCUAAGCCUUAGGGCAAAAAUUUUCUUCUUGUUUUCCUAUUUGUCCCUUCCCCAUUUUCCAGAAUUGCUUAAUUGGUCCCUUGUUUUUUAACUUGUGCCUCAAGUUUUUGAGAAAAAUUAACAGAAAUUGCAUUUCGAACCUCCAACUAGAAGGUUCCGGGGAUUUGUUGCAAGAUUUUUAUGUCCAAAUACCCAUGUUACCCCUAUCUUUCCUUCUUAAUUACUUAGCCUAAAUGUCUCUACCCUGGUGUCUAUCCUUUUGGUCAGAAAUUGACCCUAGUUAAAUACUCAAGGCCAUAAACCAUGGUCUCAUUAUCAGUUGGGGUCGAUUUUUAAGAAAGUUGGUCAUGACUAACGAUUAAAUUGAGGACUACACUAUACUACUAAAAAGCAAACAAACAAUGGUCAAAAUUGGUAAGUAACAGGUCAAUGAAACACAUAUAUACAGGAGGAUUUAGACAGGUACCAAAAUAUGGGGCUGAAUUACUUAGAGGCAAAAAUAAAGCUAACCAGCACAAACUUCAGAAACAAACACAAGGUUUAUCACAAAUGAAGAUUGACCAAAUUGAAACGAAAAGGGAAAGUUAAACCAAGGAAGAGAUGAACAAUUUUGAGCUAACAGAAUAAUUCAAAUUAGUCAAGGAACAUCUGUGAAUUCAAUUGGUAAAGGGACCAUUUAGAACGGGUUAUCAAAAACUUAAAAGAAAAGGCAUAUGAUUCUGGAUGAAAAUAAAGCAACUAAUCAGAAUAUUUUCAUAGAUGAGAAAAUAGAACAUUUAUGUACUCACACAAAAUGAAAACAAAGAAAAAUUAUAAGCAAUCAAAAGGAAAACAUGGAACUUAGCUUAACAUCAUAGCCCUAAGACCUUUGACCUUCGUGUCUCAUGGUUUCCAAUCAUUUCUGGUUUCAAAUCUGGGAAUGUCUUGGGUCUUUUGGGAACUUUGUGCAAUCAUUUGAGAGGGGAAGAGGGUAUCAGGUGUAAGGUUAGUUAGUUUGGGAUAGGGUUUGGGUUUCAGACCAUUUUUCGAUUUGAUUUUUGGCCAGGUUCAAGUUGUAUUCGAAGGCUGUUGGCUGUGGAUUUGUGGAGGGGAAGGUGAGGAGGUCACCUGGUAACAGUUUCAAGGGAUUUUGGGGAGGUUGGAGAUUUUGCCAGUGCUUUGAACUAAUAUUCAAAGCAAUGGGUAAGGGUUUGGAGGAAUUUGAACAUGGAUCCAUUAUGGGGAAGGAGUAAGCGACAUAGGGUGUUAUUUUGGAAAGGUUCCGGCUGUGGCGCCACCAUGGGUGGCGGAAGCGGUGCCCAAACAUUUCAAUAUUCGAAGGGAUUGGCUCACAGUUGAGACUUGAUUCUUAGGGCAUCGCAAAGAGGAGGGCAUGGUGAGUUAGGGGUGUAUUUUUGGGAAGCAACGGAGCUCUACCACCGGCGGAGAUGAUUUCCAGCCAGCGGCUAUAUGGCGGUGUACCGACGGAGACGAGGGUACAAGGAAGAGGCUA